UUGAGAUAGUCCGGCCGCGAUUGUAUUUCUAAAUUUAGUAAAUACCAUUGGAGUCAUUCAUCGGUGGUGCCAUUAGGCGGGACCUGAGUUUCGUUUGUUCUAGUUCGCGGGAAAUGGAUGCCAUUGAUUCAGUCAUCGAUCCUCUCAGAGGCUUCGCCAAGGAUAGCGUCCGUCUCGUCAAGAGAUGCCACAAGCCUGAUCGCCAAGAAUUCACCAAAGUGGCGCUCCGUACCGCAAUUGGUUUCGUCGUGAUGGGAUUUGUCGGUUUUUUCGUCAAGUUGAUUUUCAUUCCGAUUAACAAUAUCAUCGUUGGAUCUGGAUAGAUUCAUUUUCACAGGAUACAAUUCAUGGUGCAGAGGGGGCUUCAUUCGAGAGUAAUGUGGUUUGCUCUUCACGUGAGCUAUUAUUUCAAGAAACAAGAGGAAGCGCUGUGGGUGUGGGGAGAAGAAAAAUGCAGGAUGUGUCCAAUAUUAGUAAGACAUCCUUGAUCCUUUAAUCUAACUUUUUAUCUUCUCUGAUGCUCACCACUUCCACUGCCUGUGCUGUUUCUUCCAAAUGCUUCUUUCGCUCCUCGUUCUUUCACAUGUACGCUUACACCAUAUGAAAAUCUUCCCAUAGAGUGAACCACUGCUGUGAGAGAGCUAGCCAGUGAAAAGAAACAUUGAGAGACAUCAGUGCUUGUGUUUUGACUUUUGCUCAUGGUUCAUCUUCAUUGUUAUUGAUCUAUAGAAACAUUUCACUUGCUUUAAGGCUAGCUUUAGAAGACACUUGAUUUAGUAGACUUUCUAUAUUUUUGCCAGCACUGGUAACGCACAAUACUAUGAAAAUUGAGGCUUGAAAUAGAAAUAGAGGCAUGAGUUCCUCAAUAGAAACAAAAGAUCUUCCUUCUUUCUAUGUUGAUGAAAAGUUCUUUUUGUAGACUUUUCUUGUUUUUUGUUUUCUUAUUGGAAUUUGGAAACAAGUAUCUCAUUGAUGCUUAAAUCAUUUUUUGGUU